GAUGAACGCUGGCGGCGUGCCUAACACAUGCAAGUCGAACGCUCGCAAGAGAGUGGCGCACGGGUGAGUAACACGUAGCUAAUCUGCCCUCAAGACAAGGAUAACUGUAGGAAACUACUGCUAAUACUUGAUAAGCUUACGGACUGUAGAGGUCUAUAAGAAAGAUUUAUCGCUUGAGGAUAAGGCUGCGCGCCAUCAGCUAGUUGGUAAGGUAAUGGCUUACCAAGGCGACGACGGCUAGGGGACCUGAGAGGGUGACCCCCCCACACUGGGACUGAGACACGGCCCAGACUCCUACGGGAGGCAGCAGUGAGGAAUAUUGCUCAAUGGGCGCAAGCCUGAAGCAGCGACGCCGCGUGGAUGAAGAAGGUUUUCGGACUGUAAAAUCCUUUUCUGUGUGACGAGAGUGGACGGUAGCACAGGAAUAAGUCUCGGCUAACUACGUGCCAGCAGCCGCGGUAAU
rnacentral:rRNA from 1 species